rnacentral:sRNA from 1 species
UCUGUGUUUCCUCGGCACAUAAGUGCGGU